rnacentral:rRNA from 1 species
UGCAGAAGAAGCACCGGCCAAUUACGUGCCAGCAGCCGCGGUAAUACGUAGGGUGCAAGCGUUGUCCGGAAUUAUUGGGCGUAAAGAGCUCGUAGGCGGUUCGUCGCGUCGGCUGUGAAAUCCCGAGGCUCAACCUCGGGUCUGCAGUCGAUACGGGCGGACUGGAGUUCGGCAGGGGAGACUGGAAUUCCUGGUGUAGCGGUGAAAUGCGCAGAUAUCAGGAGGAACACCGGUGGCGAAGUCGGGUCUCUGGGCCGAUACUGACGCUGAGGAGCGAAAGCGUGGGGAGCGAACAGGAUUAGAUACCCUGGUAGUCCACGCCGUAAACGUUGGGCGCUAGGUGUGGGGGCCAUUCCACGGUCUCCGUGCCGCAGCUAACGCAUUAAGCGCCCCGCCUGGGGAGUACGGCCGCAAGGCUAAAACUCAAAGGAAUUGACGGGGGCCCGCACAAGCGGCGGAGCAUGUUGCUUAAUUCGAUGCAACGCGAAGAACCUUACCUAGGCUUGACAUGCACGGAAAUCUCGCAGAGAUGCGGGGUGCCUUUGGCGUCGUGCACAGGUGGUGCAUGGUUGUCGUCAGCUCGUGUCGUGAGAUGUUGGGUUAAGUCCCGCAACGAGCGCAACCCUAAUCGAAUUCCC